GAUGGAGCAGCAGAAUACAGAAAAGCAAUGUCUUCCCAUUCCUGUGAAGGAACAGCAAAAGGACAACUGUAAGCUUCUUCAGCACAUAAGAGUAUCCACACUGUGACAAGGGCAGACAUCAUGUGGCUUCCAGCAGUGUGGAAUACAGUGAAGAUGGAUGGUAGCAACUCCUAAGGCCAGGAAGCACUGGACUUGGAGAAGAACAGGUGUGGUGUCUCAUGUACCACAUGCGAAGAUGUCUGGGUCAAGAUGACGCUAACUGUAGGUAUCAGCAGAAGAACUAACAGUCCAAUCUGUGAGUGUGAAACAGGGAAAUUUUGAAGUGAGCCGAAGACCGGCCUGAAGACAUAGAAAUGCAGAGGAAGACUACCAACUGACUGCCUUCAUCAGCCUAUCUACAAAUAACCUGCACACUGCCAAGAUUCAAUGGCAUUGUAACUGCAGCAUAGUUAAUUCCUUGAAGCCUUUCUUGUUUUAAAUCUAAACAAAAUUC